ACAGGUUUCAGUUCUCACCCAUUUGCAUGCUAAGAAUGUACACAAAUCGGUAGAAAGAACUGCUUUGAAAUUCUUUCAGUUUUGGCAAGGCUACUUUUUCCAGAUCGAUGAACGUUUAUACGCGCAUCGGGUAAGCUCCGGAAAAUUACCUCAAUUGGAUCUGCAAAUGGGAGGAAUACCUAACAGCAGCAGGUGAAGUUUUCUUUUUAUGUGCAGUUUUUAAGUUACUUAUGCAUUCUUUAUUUUUAUCUCUUUUGCCCAUAUUCUGUACAUCAAUUUUGUUCAUUUAGUCUGCAUUUUCGGUACUUUUAUCUUUUUCCU